CCUACUCAAAGUCCAGCUUCAACUAAGAAGAUCCUUCCUGAUCCUGGUUCAGUUGCCAUCUGAAGGAUCCUGUGGAACUGAGGCUUAUGGACAAAUCAUGGAAUUCUUUUGAUCUCUAUGCUAGGAACACCAGUCCUCUCCCAGGUUCUGUUCUCCAGGCUGGUCGAUCUAUCACAGUGGUCUCCAACAGACAUCAUCGUUGUUUGCUUCACCCUGUGUGGUUCCCCUUCAAGUCACCAUUUAGCAGAUGUGUGGGCAUCCUGUUGACAGCGGCUUGGGUAUCUGUUGGCAGCUAUGCAG